GGACAGGUGUCCGAGCGGCUGAAGGAGCGGCACUGGAAAUGCCGUGUACGGCUUAUGUCCGUACCGUGGGUUCGAAUCCCACCCUGUCCG
rnacentral:tRNA from 1 species